AGCUUUGCGCAGUGGCAGUAUCGUAGCCAAUGAGGUUUAUCCGAGGCACGAUUAUUGCCAAUUAAGAUAAUUUUCUUAUUUCUUGAGAUUAUAAUAUAACUACACAGUU
rnacentral:snRNA from 1 species